AUCGCUUCUCGGCCUUUUGGCUAAGAUCGAAUGUAGUAUCGGCUCUGGUCAACUUAAUAAACAAAAACUUUUAAAUAAGAAAAUAAAUAAAUAAAUAACAGCAAGCCAU
rnacentral:snRNA from 1 species